GUGGGGCUCUCAUUUUCCACAUUUCAUUGGAUUGUUUUUUUUUUGUACUCCGGCAUUUUGACCGCCACUCAUCCUCGCUUCCAGCUCAGCUCAGCGGCUGUCGACAUGGGAACCGGUGUCAACACAGCGCUGCUCAGGCGCACUGGCUGCUAGCUCUAUGCUAGCUCUAUUCUAAAUCGACCGCUUGAUGACGAAAAUGUACAUUUCCUAAAAGGAAACACUACAAUCUUUUUUUUUUACACCAGUCAGCAAGUGUAUAACUCACCGUGAUACUCUGUAGCCCAGCGCAACAAUGUACAGUAAGUUUUGACGGUGAUAGUCCUUCAUCAUAGAGAUACGCAGCGUUUAUCUGUGGGUGACGUCACUAAAAAGCGCCGACGUUUCCAAAGUUUGAUGUGCAGUCAUGGCUAGCCGAUGGAAAAAAGAACCAUCCAUCCAUCCAGCUUCUGUGCUGUGUAUCCUCACGUGGGGCUCGUGGGGGUAUGCUGGAGCCUAUCCCAGCUGACUUCAAGCCGGAAUUAAAUAAAGCAGUGUUAGGUUGAUACUAUUUGACUCAAGGAUGUUGAUGCAGUUUUUUCAAAAGGUGUGUUUGUGAUUGCACACACACACAUACACACCCUCAGUGUUAACCUGCAGUUUACUCUCUGUAGUUACCAAGGGAACUCAGAAGAAGUGGGUUGCUAUGUGGAUGGCCGCCCUUUAUCAAAGGGAAAUUGCUACUUUGAGGUGACGCUUCCAGUGACAGUGCUCGGUGAAAGUGAAUGUCCAGCAUUGUGGUAAUUCAGUGAGAUAAUACCAUUUAUUGUGCACAUUUGUGCAUCAAUAAAUGGCGAGGUCAGUCCAAACUGACCUCAUUUUGUACUUAACUCAAUCAAUGCCAGCCAUUUUCAGAGAAGAGAGCUCCAUACUGCCAGUUUUUGGGCAUUUCUGCUGAAUUUACAAGAAAAAAAAACAAAAACGAAACUUAUGAAAUCCGGGGCAGUUUGUUCCAUCGGAAAUAAUGUAAAUCCAAUUAAUCCGUUUCAGACACCCAAACAUAUUGAAUAAAGAAUAAUUCUAUUUUUGCAUGCAGAAAACAACGCACAAUAAUUAUAAAUGAAAAGAAUAUUCAACAUAACUUUUACCUUCAUUGUUGAC